UACGUAGGUGGCAAGCGUUGUCCGGAUUUAUUGUGCUUCCCUCUCUCGCAGGCGGUCUUUUAAGUCUGAUGUGAAAGCCCCCGGCUUAACCGGGGAGGGUCAUUGGAAACUGGGAGACUUGAGUGCAGAAGAGGAAAGCGGAAUUCCAUGUGUAGCGGUGAAAUGCGUAGAUAUAUGGAGGAACACCAGUGGCGAAGGCGGCUUUCUGGUCUGUAACUGACGCUGAGGCUCGAAAGCGUGGGGAGCAAACAGGAUUAGAUACCCUGGUAGUCCACGCCGUAAACGAUGAGUGCUAAGUGUUGGAGGGUUUCCGCCCUUCAGUGCUGCAGCAAACGCAUUAAGCACUCCGCCUGGGGAGUACGACCGCAAGGUUGAA
rnacentral:rRNA from 1 species